CUCCGACUAAACAGUUCAGGUAUUGGAGAUGAGGGUGCAAGGGUUAUUGCAGAUAUGCUGAAAGAAAAUCAAACUUUACGUGUACUGGAACUUAACAAUAAUAUGAUUGAAUAUUCUGGUUUUGCAAGUCUUGCUGGAGCACUAGUUGAGAAUAAGGCAAUUCGAUCUAUACAUCUCAAGUUAAUAAGACUUACACACACUUAGAUUUUCUAUCCAUGCAGUUCUUUCUUGCAGAUUUAAUUUCUUCAUCAGAUCUGUUGGCUUUCCAGUAUUUAUUGAUUGUACUACUUCUCAGCAAUUAUGUAAAACUAUAUUUCUUCUUGUUUAGGAAAAAUAACACUUCUAGAUAUUGGCAACAAUGAGAUUGGUCCCAAAGGCGCCUUUAGCAUCGCUGAGUUUGUUAAGAAAACUAAGUCCUUGCUACGGCUGAAUCUUUACAUGAAUGACAUUGGCGAUGCGGUGUGGUUAUUGACUAUUGUUGC